GAAAUGCGAUAAGUAAUGUGAAUUGUAGAAUUCAGUGAAUCAUCGAAUCUUUGAACGCACAUUGCGCCCGCCAGUAUUCUGGCGGGCAUGCCUGUCCGAGCGUCAUUUCAACCAUCAAGCCCCCGGGCUUGUGUUGGGGACCUGCGGCUGCCCGCAGGCCCUGAAAACCAGUGGCGGGCUCGCUGUCACACCGAGCGUAGUAGCAAUCACCUCGCUCAGGGCGUGCUGCGGGUUCCGGCCGUUAAACAGCCUUACAAAACCCAAGGUUGACCUCGGAUCAGGUAGGAAGACCCGCUGAACUUAAGC
rnacentral:misc_RNA from 1 species